rnacentral:rRNA from 1 species
GAUGAACGCUGGCGGCGUGCUUAACACAUGCAAGUCGAACGAUGAAGCCCAGCUUGCUGGGUGGUUUAGUGACGAACGGGUGAGUAACACGUGAGUAACCUGCCCUUGACUCUGGGAUAAGCCUGGGAAACUGGGUCUAAUACUGGAUAUGACUUCUCAUCGCAUGGUGGGGGGUGGAAAGAUUUAUUGGUCUUGGAUGGACUCGCGGCCUAUCAGCUUGUUGGUGAGGUAAUGGCUCACCAAGGCGACGACGGGUAGCCGGCCUGAGAGGGUGACCGGCCACACUGGGACUGAGACACGGCCCAGACUCCUACGGGAGGCAGCAGUGGGGAAUAUUGCACAAUGGGCGCGAGCCUGAUGCAGCGACGCCGCGUGAGGGAUGACGGCCUUCGGGUUGUAAACCUCUGUCAGUAGGGAAGAAGCGAGAGUGACGGUACCUGCAGAAGAAGCGCCGGCUAACUACGUG